AUUGAACGCUGGCGGCAGGCUUAACACAUGCAAGUCGAGCGGAGAUGAGGUGCUUGCACCUUAUCUUAGCGGCGGACGGGUGAGUAAUGCUUAGGAAUCUGCCUAUUAGUGGGGGACAACAUUCCGAAAGGAAUGCUAAUACCGCAUACGUCCUACGGGAGAAAGCAGGGGAUCUUCGGACCUUGCGCUAAUAGAUGAGCCUAAGUCGGAUUAGCUAGUUGGUGGGGUAAAGGCCUACCAAGGCGACGAUCUGUAGCGGGUCUGAGAGGAUGGUCCGCCACACUGGGACUGAGACACGGCCCAGACUCCUACGGGAGGCAGCAGUGGGGAAUAUUGGACAAUGAGGGAAACCCUGAUCCAGCCAUGCCGCGUGUGUGAAGAAGGCCUUAUGGUUGUAAAGCACUUUAAGCGAGGAGGAGGCUACUGAGACUAAUACUCUUGGAUAGUGGACGUUACUCGCAGAAUAAGCACCGGCUAACUCUGUGCCAGCCGCCGCAGUAA
rnacentral:rRNA from 1 species